rnacentral:rRNA from 1 species
GUGGGGAAUAUUGCACAAUGGGGGGAACCCUGAUGCAGCGACGCCGCGUGAGGGAAGAAGGUUUUCGGAUUGUAAACCUCUGUCUUGUGGGACGAUAAUGACGGUACCACAGGAGGAAGCCAUGGCUAACUACGUGCCAGCAGCCGCGGUAAUACGUAGAUGGCGAGCGUUGUCCGGAAUUACUGGGUGUAAAGGGAGUGUAGGCGGGAUCAUAAGUUGCGUGUGAAAUGCAGGGGCUCAACCCCUGAACUGCGCGCAAAACUGUGGUUCUUGAGUGAAGUAGAGGCAGGCGGAAUUCCCGGUGUAGCGGUGGAAUGCGUAGAUAUCGGGAGGAACACCAGUGGCGAAGGCGGCCUGCUGGGCUUUUACUGACGCUGAGGCUCGAAAGCAUGGGGAGCAAACAGG